UACGUCUCUGAAAAAGAUUAAUUAAGCUUCAAUUGUUUCUUCUAACAUUCAUUGUGGAAACGAGCACAUCAAAAAGGAGAAACACUGUAAAGGAAAUGGAUACGUUAUAUGGGUGAAAUGGAUGUAAUGAAAAGUCCGCGAGGUCUACGAUAUAUCACACCAAACUUUUGGCAGGCCAAACCAACGAAAUUAUUCCGAUGAAAUUAAGGACAGAUCCCCUAUAACGAAAUACAACGAGGUGAUACAGGGCGCGAAACAUGUGUUAUUUACCUGAAGUUCCACGAGAUAUAAAUAUCGAUUCAGAUCCUCCGAAUAUUUCAUUACUGACGCUUUGCAUAGAGCCAGCUGUUCCUCUUGCGUUUUAAAUCUGGGAGGUUGCAACCCGUGUAUCCCAAGGGCUAUUCUCUCUUUCAGGGUGAAUGCCAAGCCCUGUUUAUUAUCAUGGAAUAUUCACGCCGUGAGAUCCAAAGAAGAAUAAUGGUAGUACCUUGUUCAGUCGGGGAUCUCGGAGAUGUCCGAUACCCUUCACCAUGUUUAUCGGUAUCACAUCCCCCG